GAUGAACGCUGGCGGCGUGCCUAAUACAUGCAAGUCGAGCGAACAGACAAGGAGCUUGCUCCUCUGACGUUAGCGGCGGACGGGUGAGUAACACGUGGAUAACCUACCUAUAAGACUGGGAUAACUUCGGGAAACCGGAGCUAAUACCGGAUAAUAUAUUGAACCGCAUGGUUCAAUAGUGAAAGACGGUUUUGCUGUCACUUAUAGAUGGAUCCGCGCCGCAUUAGCUAGUUGGUAAGGUAACGGCUUACCAAGGCAACGAUGCGUAGCCGACCUGAGAGGGUGAUCGGCCACACUGGAACUGAGACACGGUCCAGACUCCUACGGGAGGCAGCAGUAGGGAAUCUUCCGCAAUGGGCGAAAGCCUGACGGAGCAACGCCGCGUGAGUGAUGAAGGUCUUCGGAUCGUAAAACUCUGUUAUUAGGGAAGAACAAAUGUGUAAGUAACUAUGCACGUCUUGACGGUGCCUAAUCAGAAAGCCACGGCUAACUACGUG
rnacentral:rRNA from 1 species